CCCGCCCGCCCGCGGCCGGCGCCGCCGCUCCCGCUCCGCUUGGGAGCUCGUCUUUUCCCGUGCCACACCGGGAGCCGCAGCCCCUGUGUUAGGACUUCAGGUGCUCCUGGCACAAAGCUAGACUGCGACCUCCUACCUAGCGUUUGGCGUCACCUGCUCUCCCGGCCCUGCCCCGGGGGGCCGAGGGACUGCGCCCGAACCAGGCUUGUGAACCGGAUGCCUCUCAACAGAUCUCGGAGUAUUUGUCUGUUGGCUUAUUGAUGGAAAAUCCAGCUGUGGGUGAGAGAGCAGCAAGCUUGUGCUCC
rnacentral:lncRNA from 1 species